rfam:Gossypium arboreum cultivar AKA8401 contig_30454_1, whole genome shotgun sequence.
AAUAGUUUUAUGCCAAAUUAGUACUCUUAUCCUGAAUUUCAAGAUUUUAUCCUGAAAAAAAUAAAAUCUAAAUUAAAAUCCUAAAAUUCAGGAUAAGAAUACUGAUGUGGCAUAAAACUAUU